CUAAUGAAUAAAAAAUCAUCUUUUAAAUGUAAAUAAAUGACGUGUCAUGAGUAAUCUCUACAUAUAUCGUGCAAGAGAAAUGCUAGCAAUAUUGUUCUAUCAACUAAGCUAAGAUCGAGACAGAGCCCUAAAACCCUAGAAACCCUAAUCUGUAUGUCCUUCACUUUAGUCUCCAUUGUUCUUCAUUUCUUUGCUUUAACAGCAAUGGUGGAAGGUGCUUUCCUCUCUGCAACGGUUGAAUCCUUGUUGCAUAAGCUUGCUUCAUCAGAAUUCACUGAUUACAUCAAAUACAGUGAGUUGAAUAUCUUGAAACUCACAGUGUUUGUAACAACUCUGCUCACUCUUCGCUCAGUUCUUCACGAUGCUGAACAGAAGCAGUUCUUCAAUCCCAAAAUCAAACAAUGGAUGAAUGAGCUGUACAAUGCAAUCGUUGUUUCCGAAGAUUUGCUUGACGAAAUUGGCUAUGAUUCUCUUCGAUGCAAGGUCGAGAAUACACCGCCUAAAUCAAAUUUUAUAUUUGAUUUCCAAAUGAAGAUUGUUUGUCAAAGGCUUCAACGUUUUGUUCGUCCGAUAGAUGCUCUUGGUUUGCGACCAGUAAGUGGUUCGGUUUCUGGUAGUAAUACUCCUUUAGUGAUUAAUGAAUUUGUUAUAAUUGGUAGGGAGGAUGAUAAGGAGAGAUUGAUGAGUAUGUUGGUGUCAGGAAAUGACAAUGACAUUGACACAAGCGGUAAUAACAAUAACAACAAAUUAGGCGUGAUUGCAAUUUUAGGUGAUGGAGGUGUUGGUAAAUCGACACUUGCUCGACUUGUUUACAAUGAUAAGAAAGUUGAUGAGCAUUUUGAUUUGAAAGUCUGGGUUUGUGUCACCGAGGAUUUUGAUAUUUCUAGAAUCACAAAAGCUCUACUUGAAUCUGUCAGCUCAACAAUAGCUUAUGUAGGAAAUGAUUUGGAUGAUGUUCGAGUUCGUUUAAAGGGGGGUUUGAUGCGUAAAAGAUUUUUGUUUGUGUUGGAUGGCUUAUGGAAUGAUAGUUAUAAUGACUGGCAUGAUCUAAUUGCUCCAUUGGUUAAUGGAAAUUGUGGAAGUAGGGUGAUCAUCACAACACGCUACGAAAGAGUUGCAGAGGUUGCACAUACGUAUCCUAUUCAUAAAUUGGAACCUCUAUCGGACGAACAUUGUUGGUCUUUACUCUCCAAGUAUGCAUUUGGAAGUGGUGACAUUAAAUACCCAACCUUAGAAGCAAUUGGGAAGAAGAUUGCAAAAAAGUGUGGUGGAUUGCCAAUAGCUGCCAAAACGCUAGGAGGGCUUUUGAGCUCAAAGUUAAAUGCAAAGGAGUGGACCGAAAUCUUGAACAGCAACAUAUGGAACAUACCAAAUAAUAACAUUCUGCCUGCUUUGCUUUUGAGUUAUCUAUACCUUCCCUCUCAUUUGAAAAGAUGUUUCGUCUAUUGCUCAAUUUUUCCCAAGGGUUAUCCCCUUGAAAAAAAGCAUUUGGUUUUGUUGUGGAUGGCAGAAGGCUUCCUUGAACAUUCUAUGGUUGGAAAAGUUGAAGAGGAGGUAGGUGAUGACUUCUUUAUGGAAUUGUUUUCGAGAUCCUUAAUUGAAAAAUUCAAGGAUGAUGCUGAUAGAGAAGUAUUUGUCUUGCACGACCUUGUCUAUGAUCUAGCAACAAUUGUAUCCGGGAAAAAUUGUUGCAAGUUUGAAUUUGGUGGUAGAAUCUCUAAAGAUGUUCACCAUUUUUCAUACAAUCAAGAGGAGUAUGACAUUUUCAAGAAGUUUGAGACUUUCUAUGAUUUCAAAAGCUUGCGAAGUUUCCUACCCAUUGGUCCUUGGUGGCAAGAAUCUUACUUAUCUCGCAAGGUGGUUGAUUUUAUCCUCCCGUCAGUUAGAAGGUUGCGUGUGCUAUCCUUAUCAAAUUAUAAAAACAUCACUAUGCUGCCAGAUUCAAUUGGUAAUUUGGUGCAGCUGCGGUAUCUGAAUCUCUCUCAGACUGGAAUCAAAUGUUUACCUGCAACAAUAUGUAACCUUUACUAUUUGCAAACCUUGAUUUUAUGCUGGUGUGUGGAUCUCAUUGAAUUAUCGAUACAUAUUGGAAAGUUAAUUAAUUUACGUCACCUUGAUAUCAGCAAUGGAAACAUAAAGGAGAUGCCGAAGCAAAUUGUUGGACUAGAAAACCUUCAAACUUUAACGGUUUUUGUAGUGGGCAAGCAAGAAGUUGGGUUAAGAGUAAGAGAGCUUGUGAAGUUUCCUAACCUACGGGGAAAACUAUGCAUCAAGAACUUGCAUAAUGUCAAUGAAGCGUGUGAUGCCAACUUGAAAACCAAAGAACACCUUGAGGAGUUAGAGUUAUAUUGGGACAAACAGUUUAAAGGUUCAAUAGCAGACAAAGCAGUUCUUGAUGUGUUGCAACCAUCUAUGAACCUCAAGAAAUUGAGCAUUUACUUCUAUGGUGGGACGAGUUUUCCACGUUGGUUGGGAGAUUGUUCAUUUUCUAACAUGGUGUACCUUUGCCUCAGUUCUUGUGUGUAUUGUGUAACACUUCCUCCACUAGGACAACUAACUUCUCUCAAAGACCUACAAAUCAAAGAUAUGACUAGAGUGGAAACAAUUGGUGCAGAGUUCUAUGGCAUGACAAGUGGAGGUACUAAUUUUCCAUUCCAACCAUUUCCUGCCCUAGAGAAGCUUGAAUUUGAGAGGAUGCCUAAUUGGAAGCAAUGGCUUUCGUUUCGAGACAAUGCAUUUCCCUUUCCCCGUCUUAAAACUCUGUGUUUAAGUCACUGUACAGAACUGAAGGGACAUUUGCCUAGCCAUCUUCCUUCCAUAGAGGAAAUUGCUAUAAUUACGUGUGAUUGUUUGCUGGCUACACCAUCUACUCCACAUUCGCUCUCAUCAGUAAAAUCUCUAGAUUUGCAAUCUGCAGGGUCACUUGAAUUGUCGUUGCUCUGGAGUGACUCUCCAUGUCUUAUGCAGGAUGCAAAAUUCUAUGGCUUUAAAACGUUGCCGUCUCUACCUAAAAUGUUACUGAGCUCCACUUGUCUUCAACACUUAGAUCUCACAUAUAUUGAUUCUCUCGCUGCAUUUCCAGCUGACUGUCUGCCCACUUCAUUGCAGUCGCUUUGUAUUCAUGGUUGUGGGGAUUUAGAAUUCAUGCCUCUUGAAAUGUGGAGCAAGUACACAUCACUUGUGAAAUUAGAGUUAGGAGAUUGUUGUGAUGUACUUACCUCCUUCCCACUGAAUGGUUUCCCCGUGCUUCGAAGUCUUACCAUUGAAGGUUGUAUGAACCUGGAAUCCAUUUUUAUUUUAGAUAGUGCCUCCCUUGCUCCAUCAACUCUUCAAUCACUGCAGGUCAGUCACUGUCAUGCACUUAGAUCAUUGCCUCGACGGAUGGACACCCUCAUUGCUCUUGAAAGUUUGACUCUCACCAGUUUACCGUCCUGUUGUGAAGUAGCUUGUCUCCCUCCGCAUUUACAGUUUAUUCAUAUUGAAUCCCUAAGAAUAACUCCACCUUUGACUGAUUCGGGCCUCCAAAACCUUAUGGCUCUGUCUGAUCUGCAUAUUGAGGGCGAUGAUAACGUUAACACCUUGUUGAAGGAGAAGUUGCUUCCCAUUUUCCUCGUGUCUCUGACAAUAAGUAAUCUCUCUGAAAUGAAAUCCUUUGAAGGAAAUGAACUUCAACUCAUCUCCUCUAUGAAAAAUCUUAAAAUUCAGUGUUGUUCAAGGCUUGAGUCUUUUGCAGAAGACACAUUGCCUUCUUUUCUGAAAUCACUUGUAGUUGAAGAUUGUCCAGAACUCAAGUCAUUGCCAUUCAGGCUGCCUUCCUCUUUGGAAACACUGAAAUUUGACAUGUGCCCAAAACUUAGGUUAUUCCGACAAUACAAUCUCCCUUCAUCUCUUAAGCUAUUGAGCAUUAGGCAUUGCCCUAUGUUAAAAGCAUGGUAUGAAACUCAGAGAAGGGUAUAUGUGUCCAAGAUUCCACACUUCCCUGUCGUAAAAAUAGACCAUGAAGUUACACUAUGAGCCUUGGGAAAGGGAAGGAAUAGUUGCACUCCAAUUUCAGAGAGCAGCUGAUAAAGCCACCCCUCAUAAAGUGAGGGGUCACUACCAUCAUCCUUUAGAUGCAAUACAGAAAUAAAUGCAUGCAAAGUAAAUCUUUUACUCUUAUAUGAAUGAGCGUGCUUCGGUAGAUCAGGCAUACAUGGAUAUCUGCAGGAAGAACUAUUCAAGAAAAAGAAAUGUGUAUGCCAAAUUGCUAUGCAAGGAUCAUGAGUGUGGGUCAUGAAUGACGAGAGCUGGAUCGUUCUCAUUGCCAAGACUAACGUAUCUGCUGGCGAUGAGCUAACGUAUAUUCCCUAUCCAUUCUUGCAUCUUGUGAUGUAUGCUUUCAUUUGUCGUUUCAGCAUGCAUUUGAGUGAAUCGUCAUUUUAGUCCCUAUGAAUUUGUCAAGAAGGAAUGGCCUAAUAUCAGGGAUCAUAUUAGAUUUCAUGAAUUUCAAUGAACAAAUGGCCUAAUUAUUUGUUACAACUUGAAAGACUAAAUUGAUGAUUUACUCGCUUUUGUUUCAUCAAAUUCUUUUUUCGCAAGAAAAUAUCAAAUUACUUUGUAACUAUGUUUAUAGUAACUGGCAGGUAUGACUACUUGUUUGAUCCUAAUGAGCCAGAUGAAUUUAAAGUUCUUUGUUUGUGUAAAGCUCCAAACUGCAGAAAAUUCAUGAAUUAGGAUUAUUCAGAUCAUGAUGACAAGUAUUGUUUCUCCAUAAGGAGCACUAACCGGUUGCAGCAUCAAUGGGAACCUCACAGUUAUACACAAGCUGUAAUUUUAAUUUUAAUCAAAGAAUAAGAA